UGGCACAUUCAACUGAUACAUACUAAUUUCAUAAUCUGGUAUGGAAAACAAACAACUGAAACUUGGCAUUGAUCUUAAACAAAAUUGAUACAUAAUUCCAUUUGGAUUCAACUUAAUUCCAUUGUACUUAUACAAUACAUAUACUGAUACACACUUCUACUUGCAUUCAACUUAUAAUUCCAUUGUACUGAUACAUAAUUAUAUUUAAAAUAUCCUGACUAUUAAAACAAUGAAAACAAGAAAAAAAAUCUUUCAAAAUUUCUUCCAGUUCAAAAUGUUCUUCAUAUCAACUUCAAGUUCCAACAAAUAUUGCUUUUCUUCCUCAAUUGUGUCCCUGAUUUUUUCAAGAUUAUCCAUAUGCCCUUCAUUUUCUUUUGUUAACUUUUCCAUCCCCACUUUUACUUCACCAUAAAUUGAUCAUUCUCAUCUUCCACUUCUUCAUAAAAUCAAUCAAAGAAUCCACACCCAGUUUGAGUAGAGCCAUGUGUAUGAUAAACCAAACAAAAAUGUUAAACCAACUAACUAUGAAAGUUUACCUUAAAAUGUGGAGAUUCCAAAAAUUACUUGCCAUAAUAGUUGUUAAAUGUUGUUGCCCUACGAAGAACAACAAUGUCUCCACAACGACAAAUCGGCCAUCAUCGAAGGUUGGAACUUCUGUAAACCUUCUAAUCAAAACUCCCAUAACUCUUCCUUUUUGUUAUUGAUGAAUAACACCCAUAACUUAUUUUUACAAGUUUUCACGAUUUCAGGGUCCAAUUUGCCAGAAGAGAAGGCAAUGGUGAUGACAAUCAAAGAGAUUUGUGCCAUAAUUUUAUUUAGGGUUCAUUUGACAAAGGAGUUUGAAACAAACAUAGUAAAAAAGAAAAUGAUGAUGAGCAAAUUAAUCUUUUUAAAAAUUAAAGGAGCAAAACAGAUUUGAAUUAAAGAUAAG
rnacentral:lncRNA from 1 species